rnacentral:rRNA from 1 species
GACGAACGCUGGCGGCGUGCCUAAUACAUGCAAGUAGAACGCUGAAGGAGGAGCUUGCUCUUCUGGAUGAGUUGCGAACGGGUGAGUAACGCGUAGGUAACCUGCCUGGUAGCGGGGGAUAACUAUUGGAAACGAUAGCUAAUACCGCAUAAGAGUAGAUGUUGCAUGACAUUUACUUAAAAGGUGCAAUUGCAUCACUACCAGAUGGACCUGCGUUGUAUUAGCUAGUUGGUGGGGUAACGGCUUACCAAGGCGACGAUACAUAGCCGACCUGAGAGGGUGAUCGGCCACACUGGGACUGAGACACGGCCCAGACUCCUACGGGAGGCAGCAGUAGGGAAUCUUCGGCAAUGGACGGAAGUCUGACCGAGCAACGCCGCGUGAGUGAAGAAGGUUUUCGGAUCGUAAAGCUCUGUUGUAAGAGAAGAACGAGUGUGGGAGUGGAAAGUUCACACUGUGACGGUAUCUUACCAGAAAGGGACGGCUAACUACGUG